rnacentral:rRNA from 1 species
AAAGAUUAAGCCAUGCAUGUAUAAGUAUAAACGACUUGAUCGUGAAACCGCGAACGGCUCAUUAUAACAGCUAUAAUUUACUUGAUCUUGACAACCUACUUGGAUAACUGUGGUAAUUCUAGAGCUAAUACAUGCACCAAAGCUCCGACCGUAAGGGAAGAGCGCAUUUAUUAGAACAAAACCAAGCGGCUUCGGCCGUCCAAUGUUGACUCAGAAUAACUAAGCUGAUCCCAUGGUCUUGUACCGGCGACGUGUCUUUCAAGUAUCUGCCUUAUCAACUUUCGAUGGUAGUGUAUCUGACUACCAUGGUGAUGACGGGUAACGGAGGAUAAGGGUUCGACUCCGGAGAAGGGGCCUGAGAAAUGGCCACUACGUCUAAGGAUGGCAGCAGGCGCGCAAAUUACCCACUCUCAGAACGAGGAGGUAGUGACGAGAAAUAACGAGACCGUUCUCUUAAGAGGCCGGUCAUCGGAAUGGGUACAAUUUAAACCCUUUAACGAGUGUCUAUGAGAGGGCAAGUCUGGUGCCAGCAGCCGCGGUAAUUCCAGCUCUCAAAAUGCAUAGAAUUAUUGCUGCGGUUAAAAAGCUCGUAGUUGGAUCUGUGCUGGCCUCCCGGUCCACCUUCGGGUGUGCACUGGUGAGGUUGGCUUUCCUGCCCAUUUUUCGGUCAGUGCCUUUAACCGGGUGCUGGUCGUAGUGGGCAAGUUUACUUUGAACAAAUCAGAGUGCUCAAAACAGGCGUUUCGCUUGAAUGUUCGUGCAUGGAAUAAUAGAAGAGGAUUUCGGUUCUAUUUUAUUGGUUUUAUAGACUGAGAUAAUGGUUAACAGAGACAAACGGGGGCAUUCGUAUUGCUACGUGAGAGGUGAAAUUCUUGGACCGUAGCAAGACGAACUACAGCGAAAGCAUUUGCCAAGAAUG